GGCAGAUCCAUUCUCUGCCACCGAAUACAUUAGCAUGGGAUAAUGGAAUAGGACCCUGUCCUCCUAUUUUCAGUUGGUUUUGGCAGCGCGAGGACUAGGGUAAUGAUUAAUAGGGAUAGUUGGGGGCAUUAAUAUUUAAUUGUCAGAGGUGAAAUUCUUGGAUUUAUGAAAGAUUAACUUCUGCGAAAGCAUCUGCCAAGGAUGUUUUCAUUAAUCAAGAACGAAAGUUAGGGGAUCGAAGACGAUCAGAUACCGUCGUAGUCUUAACCAUAAACGAUGCCGACCAGCGAUUAGGAGACGUUGAAUACAAAACACCACCAUCGGUGCGGCUGUUCUUGGCGUCGGUUUCGGCCGGCGCGGGGAUGGCUUAGCCCGGUGGCACCGGUGAAUGACUCCCCUAGCAGCUUGUGAGAA
rnacentral:rRNA from 1 species